CCCACUUGUUGGCAGUUCUCAUGCCUUCUAUAGCAAAGGAACUUUUAACAAUACUCCAUAAGAGUAGCAAUAGAGGAGUUCCCGUCGUGGCUUUGCGGAAACGAAUCUGACCAGUAUCCAUGAAGACACAGGUUUGAUCCUCGACCUCAUUCAGCGGGUUAAGGAUCUGGCACUGCCAUGAGCUAUGGUGUAGGUUGCAGACACGGCUCGGAUCUGCUGUUGCUGUGGCUGUGGUGUAGGCUGGCAGCUGUAGCUCCAAUUCAACCCCUAGCCUGGGAACUUCCACAUGCCUCAGGUAUGGCCCUAAAAAGACAAAAAGAAGAAGAAGAAGAAGAUUAGCAGUAGAAUGCACAGUGGCCAAAAUUUCCCCCAGGCUUCAUGAAUGAGUGCAUCUCUUUCUGCAUUAAGGGUAGGAGUCCCAUGGAAAGGGAAUUUACCACAGUCUCCCCAAAGAUGAGCCUGCUCUUUCCACUAAGACAGAUCCCAAUGCCCAAAGCUUUGGAAACAUUAAUUACUCAGUGAAAUUUAGGGAAGUGGGGGUUACCAAAGAGUUCCAGCAAAUCUGAGUCCACUUCAGAGAACAGUGAUCCUGGCUGCAAACCACGGUUUACAUUCCAUCUUCAAAGCGAGAUAACACAAGAAUGCCAAAAAUUCAACAGAGCCUUCUCGAGUAACAAUCUUGUCCUUGAGAGAGUAUGGGAUUCUCAGUGGUGGAAUUUUCCACUCAUUUAUUCUUUCAUUUUCCAUCUCCCUUUGCCUUCAAGUGUCAGUUGGCUCCUCUCGGUCACAGCUGUACAAAUCACAGGACUUUUUUUUUCCUUGGCAAACGACAUAUAUAUUAUUCAUCUAUUGAGGGUUCUCUGAAGGAAAUCCAACACAGACACAGUUGCAUUUUCCAAACAGAAAUAUUUAAAGCUGCUUUUUCCUCACAAGAAUCCAGAGAGAAGACUCUAUCUAUGAUCUAUGCAAGUUUUCUCCAUUGACAGAGAAAAGAAGUGCAAAGCCACCAACAACUCCAGGUAUAUAUCCUUCAUCCUAGUUCAUUAGCCAGAGGUGGGAAGUUCCUUUUUUCUUCUUCGGUUCAGUAGGGUGGGAACAUAUAUCUGGAGAAAUAUCUGUCCACCACAUCCACAAAGGGAAAACCACUCCAACACACAAACCAAUUGCCACCCUCACAUUUCCUGAUAGUACUAGGGAAUAAAUUUUAUACAAUAUCCUGGCACAUUGUUUUCUUUUUUAAAAAAC
rnacentral:lncRNA from 9 species